rnacentral:misc_RNA from 1 species
AACUUUCGACAAUGGAUCUCUUGGCUCUCGCAUCGAUGAAGAACGCAGCGAAAUGCGAUAAGUAAUGUGAAUUGCAGAAUUCAGUGAAUCAUCGACUCAUUGAACGCACCUUGCGCUCCUUGGUAUUCCGAGGAGCAUGCCUUUUUGAGUGUCAUUAAAUUCUCAACUUUUAUCAGCAUUUGCUGGUGAUGGCUUGGAUAUGGGGGUUUAUUUUGCUGGCUUCUUCACAGAUGGUCAGCUCCCCUUAAAUGCAUUAGCCGGUGCCCCGCGUGGACUGUCUAUUGGUGUGAUAAUUAUCUACGCCGUGGACAUCUACAAUCAUAUGGGUUUGCACUGCUUCCAACCGUCUGUUCAUUCAGACAAUUCAUGACAAUUUGACCUCAAAUCAGGUAGGACUACCCGCUGAACUUAAGCAUAUCAAUAAGCGGAGGCU